rnacentral:rRNA from 1 species
AUUGAACGCUGGCGGAAUGCUUUACACAUGCAAGUCGAACGGCAGCACGGACUUCGGUCUGGUGGCGAGUGGCGAACGGGUGAGUAAUGUAUCGGAACGUGCCCAGUCGUGGGGGACAACGUAGUGAAAAUCACGCUAAUACCGCAUACGAUCUAUGGAUGAACGCGGGGGAUCGCAAGACCCCGCGCGAUUGGUGCGGCCGAUAUCAGAUUAGGUAGUUGGUGGGGUAAAGGCCCACCAAGCCAACGAUCUGUAGCUGGUCUGAGAGGACGACCAGCCACACUGGAACUGAGACACGGUCCAGACUCCUACGGGAGGCAGCAGUGGGGAAUUUUGGACAAUGGGCGAAAGCCUGAUCCAGCCAUUCCGCGUGCAGGAUGAAGGCCCUCGGGUUGUAAACUGCUUUUGUACAGAACGAAAAGGUUUCUACUAAUACUAGGAGCUCAUGACGGUACUGUAAGAAUAAGCACCGGCUAACUACGUGCCAGCCGCCGCAGUAA